rnacentral:rRNA from 1 species
UACGUAGGUGGCAAGCGUUGUCCGGAUUUACUGGGCGUAAAGAGCGCGCAGGCGGUCGUUCAAGUCGCGUGUGAAAGCCCCCGGCUCAACUGGGGAGGGUCAUUCGAUACUGAUCGACUGGAAGGCAGGAGAGGGAAGCGGAAUUCCCGGUGUAGUGGUGAAAUGCGUAGAUAUCAGGAGGAACACCGGUGGUGUAGACGGCUUUCUGGACCGUAACUGACGCUGAGACACGAAAGCGUGGGUAGCAAACAGG